rnacentral:rRNA from 1 species
UUGAUCUUAGUUGCCAGCAUUCAGUUGGGCACUCUAAGGUGACUGCCGGUGACAAACCGGAGGAAGGUGGGGAUGACGUCAAAUCAUCAUGCCCCUUAUGACCUGGGCUACACACGUGCUACAAUGGGCAGAACAAAGGGCAGCGAAACCGCGAGGUUAAGCCAAUCCCACAAAUCUGUUCUCAGUUCGGAUCGCAGUCUGCAACUCGACUGCGUGAAGCUGGAAUCGCUAGUAAUCGCGGAUCAGCAUGCCGCG